rnacentral:pre_miRNA from 1 species
GGCCCAAAGUUGAAGUAGAAUAGAUUGGCAGGAUCAGCUGACUAUUCUAAUCCAUUCUACUUUGAGUUAGUGCUU